CCUGGCGGCGGCUUACACAUGCAAGUCGAGCGGUAGCACAAGGGUAGCUUGCUCCCUGGGUGACGAGCGGCGGACGGGUGAGUAAUGUCUGGGAAACUGCCUGAUGGAGGGGGAUAACUACUGGAAACGGUAGCUAAUACCGCAUAACGUCGCAAGACCAAAGAGGGGGACCUUCGGGCCUCUUGCCAUCAGAUGUGCCCAGAUGGGAUUAGCUAGUAGGUGGGGUAAUGGCUCACCUAGGCGACGAUCCCUAGCUGGUCUGAGAGGAUGACCAGCCACACUGGAACUGAGACACGGUCCAGACUCCUACGGGAGGCAGCAGUGGGGAAUAUUGCACAAUGGGCGCAAGCCUGAUGCAGCCAUGCCGCGUGUGUGAAGAAGGCCUUCGGGUUGUAAAGCACUUUCAGCGAGGAGGAAGGUGGUGAACUUAAUACGCUCAUCAAUUGACGUUACUCGCAGAAGAAGCACCGGCUAACUCCGUGCCAGCAGCCGCGGUAAUACGGAGGGUGCAAGCGUUAAUCGGAAUUACUGGGCGUAAAGCGCACGCAGGCGGUUUGUUAAGUCAGAUGUGAAAUCCCCGGGCUCAACCUGGGAACUGCAUUUGAAACUGGCAAGCUAGAGUCUCGUAGAGGGGGGUAGAAUUCCAGGUGUAGCGGUGAAAUGCGUAGAGAUCUGGAGGAAUACCGGUGGCGAA
rnacentral:rRNA from 1 species